rnacentral:lncRNA from 1 species
AAAAGAGCAGUUGAAGAUGAGGACCUGCCUUGAGUCUGACAAAGAGAAUAACUCCUCUUAACUCCAGACAUGAAAUGAGAGAAUAACUUUAUCUUAACUCCUGACACCAAAGUAAACAAGAAGAAAGUUAUCCUCCUGGGGUCUAAGUCUUGGGAAACAAGUUUUGUCCAGACUCGCAGGCCCCUCAUCCUCAGGAAGACAUUUGACACCAAGGAGAAGAUGCCCGCAGCAGGGGACAGCCACUGGAGUCCACGCUUCACACUGGUCCCUUUGUCACCCUGGUUUCUCAUCCAAGAUGCCACAAUACACAGAGCCAUCAUGUCUCCUUACUUAGGUUCCUUUUGGCUGUGACCACUCCUCUGUCUUUUUGCUUUUUUUUUUUUUUUUUUGGUGAUGGCCUUGACUGUGCCUCUAUUGAGUCCUUUUUGCUCAAUCUUUUUUAUUGUGUUAGAAUACAUAUAACAUAAAAUUUGCUAUGUUAACCAUUUGAAGUAUACAGUUUAGUGGUGUUAAAUGCAAUCAUAAUAUUUUACAACCAUCCUCAGGAUCCCCCUCCGUAACUCUUGUCAUCUUGCAAUAUUGAAACUCUGUACACAUUAAACAAUAAUUCUAAACAAUGAUUCCCUUCUACCUCCAGCUGCUGGAAACCACUAAUCUACUUUCUGUGUCUAUGAUUUUGAUUAUUAUGAGUACUUUAUAUAAGUGAAACUGAUAGAUUCAUUCUUGAGCUUAAACAGGAAGAGGAAAAGGAAAAAUGAACUGAUGUUUAGACACAUAGAGAAAAGCAUCCAAGCAUUUAAAUCUUAAUAGGAAAAACAGGAAGGGUCCUUCAAGCCUUGCCCCUGAGGGAACAGCUGGAAGUCAAGCUGUGAUACAAGUAUAAUGAGAGAGACUUGAGGGCAAAGAGAAAGAGGGGGAACAAGAACUAUUGUUCUUGGGAAUUCACAAAAAAAGCAGAAAGUUGAAAUGGUCAAGAAACAUGCAAAAGAUGCUCAAUUUCUCUGAUAAUUAGAGAUUUCAUUUAGAAUCACAUAUAAUGUUAUUCAACAUCAGAAAAUUGACCAAAACAUUUCAAAGUUUGACAAAUUUGAGUACUGAUGGUGUAGAGACAUAGAGGCAUGCAUACAUUGCUCAUAGGAAUAUAAAUUGGUAAAUCACUUUAGAAACUAUUUGGAGAUAUUUAGUAAAGUUGAAGACCUAGUUACUGUACUACCCGUAACUCCAUAUCAGCAUAUUGAUUCUAUAGGGCAAUCUUGAAAUUAUG